UUCGGAAAUUUAACUUUGAAUUGGUCUAAACAUCACAAUCGUGUUUUUCUCGCUAUCUAAACGCGCUAAGUAUCUUUCCAGCUCCGAAUCGUCGUUUUUGUUGGAAUUUAGGAAGUUUGCUGCAAAUU